rnacentral:rRNA from 1 species
ACAAACUCCGAAUGCCAAAUAAUUUAACUUGGGAGUCAGAAUGUGGGUGAUAAGGUCCAUAUUCGAAAGGGAAACAGCCCAGACCACCAGCUAAGGUCCCAAAAUAUAUGUUAAGUGGAAAAGGAUGUGGCGUUGCCCAGACAACUAGGAUGUUGGCUUAGAAGCAGCCAUCAUUUAAAGAGUGCGUAAUAGCUCACUAGUCGAGUGACACUGCGCCGAAAAUGUACCGGGGCUAAACAUAUUACCGAAGCUGUGGAUUGUCCUUUGGACAAUGGUAGGAGAGCGUUCUAAGGGCGUUGAAGCAUGAUCGCAAGGACAUGUGGAGCGCUUAGAAGUGAGAAUGCCGGUGUGAGUAGCGAAAGACGGGUGAGAAUCCCGUCCACCGAUUGACUAAGGUUUCCAGAGGAAGGCUCGUCCGCUCUGGGUUAGUCGGGUCCUAAGCUGAGGCCGACAGGCGUAGGCGAUGGAUAACAGGUUGAUAUUCCUGUACCACCAUUAUUCGUUUUAAGCGAUGGGGGGACGCAGUAGGAUAGGCGAAGCGUGCUGUUGGAGUGCACGUCCAAGCAGUGAGAUUGA